GACGAACGCUGGCGGCGUGCUUAACACAUGCAAGUCGAGCGGUAAGGCCCUUUCGGGGGUACACGAGCGGCGAACGGGUGAGUAACACGUGGGUGACCUGCCCUUAGCUCUGGGAUAAGCCUGGGAAACUGGGUCUAAUACCGGAUAUGACUCCAUGACGCAUGUUGUGGGGUGGAAAGCCUUGUGCGGCUAGGGAUGGGCCCGCGGCCUAUCAGCUUGUUGGUGGGGUGAUGGCCUACCAAGGCGACGACGGGUAGCCGGCCUGAGAGGGCGACCGGCCACACUGGGACUGAGACACGGCCCAGACUCCACGGGAGGCAGCAGUGGGAAUCUUGCGCAAUGGCGAAAGCCUGACGCAGCGACGCCGCGUGAGGGAUGACGGCC
rnacentral:rRNA from 1 species